rnacentral:rRNA from 1 species
AGAGUUUGAUCCUGGCUCAGAACGUACGCUGGCGGCACGCCUAACACAUGCAAGUCGAACGAAGUAGCAAUACUUAGUGGCAAACGGGUGAGUAACAUGUGGGUAUCUGCCCUUUGGCCUGGAAUAACACGAGGAAACUUGUGCUAAUACCGGAUAAGUCUUUUAAGAGAAAGCUUUAUGCACCAAUGGAUGAGCCCGCACCUGAUUAGUUAGUUGGUGGGGUAAUGGCUUACCAAGACAAUGAUCAGUAGCUGAUUUGAGAGGAUGAUCAGCCACAUUGGGACUGAGACACGGCCCAAACUCCUACGGGAGGCAGCAGUGGGGAAUCUUGCACAAUGGGGGAAACCCUGAUGCAGCGAUGCCGCGUGAGUGAAGAAGGCCCUUGGGUUGUAAAGCUCUUUCGUCGGGGAAGAAAAUGACUGUACCCGAAUAAGAAGGUCCGGCUAACUUCGUGCCAGCAGCCGCGGUAAUACGAAGGGACCUAGCGUAGUUCGGAAUUACUGGGCUUAAAGAGUUCGUAGGUGGUUAAAAUAGUUGGUGGUGAAAUCCCAGAGCUUAACUCUGGAACUGCCAUCAAAACUUUUUAGCUAGAGUAUGAUAGAGGAAAGUAGAAUUUCUAGUGUAGAGGUGAAAUUCGUAGAUAUUAGAAAGAAUACCAAUUGCGAAGGCAGCUUUCUGGAUCAUUACUGACACUGAGGAACGAAAGCAUGGGUAGCGAAGAGGAUUAGAUACCCUCGUAGUCCAUGCCGUAAACGAUGUGUGCUAGACGUUGGAAAUUUUAUUUUCAGUGUCGCAGCAAAAGCGAUAAGCACACCGCCUGGGGAGUACGACCGCAAGGUUAAAACUCAAAUGAAUUGACGGGGACCCGCACAAGUAGUGGAGCAUGUGGUUUAAUUCGAAGAUACGCGCAGAACCUUACCAACACUUGACAUGUUCGUCGCGACUCUAAGAGAUUAGAGUUUUCGGUUCGGCCGGACGAAACACAGGUGCUGCAUGGCUGUCGUCAGCUCGUGUCGUGAGAUGUUGGGUUAAGUCCCGCAACGAGCGCAACCCUCACUUUUAGUUGCUACCAUUUAGUUGGGCACUCUGAAAGAACUGCCAGUGAUAAGCUGGAGGAAGGUGGGGAUGACGUCAAGUCCUCAUGGCCCUUACGUGUUGGGCUACACACGUGCUACAAUGGCAUCUACAACAGGAAGCAAGAAUGCGAAUUUAAGCAAAUCCUUAAAAGAUGCCUCAGUUCGGAUUGUACUCUGCAACUCGAGUACAUGAAGCUGGAAUUACUAGUAAUCGCGGAUCAGCGUGCCGCGGUGAAUACGUUCCCGGGUCUUGUACACACCGCCCGUCACACCAUGGGAGUUGGUUCUACCUUAAGGCAAAAUGUUAACCUUCGGGAAGCAUUUGACCACGGUAUAGUCAGCGACUGGGGUGAAGUCGUAACAAGGUAACC